AUGACGCCCCGACAACAAAGUCGUCGCCUGGUCUCCUCCGCCGCUCCCGCCACUCUCCUGCUCCUACUCCUCGCCGGCGCCGCCGACGCCGAGCCACCGCUAGUCGGCGUUUCUCCCCAGGACGAGGCGUACUUCGCGCCGCAGGUGAUCGCCUGCAGGGACGGCUCGGGCUCCUUCCCCAGGAGCCGGCUCAACGACGGAUACUGCGAUUGCACCGAUGGAACCGACGAGCCAGGCACUUCGGCUUGCCCAGAAGGCAAAUUUUAUUGUAUAAACACUGGAGAUCUUCCUCGUAUCUUGUUCUCUUCGUUUGUGAAUGAUAACAUUUGCGAUUGCUGUGAUGGAAGUGAUGAGUAUGAAAGUGGCAUCCAUUGUCCGAACACAUGUAAAAAGAGACAUGAUACUGCCGAGACAGACAAUGGUGUUAGUGAGCUGUCAGUCGCACAUUUAGGUGGAACGGACAUAAUUUCUAGUAAACAUACACUUGACAUAGAAGAUCUUAUCCAGAAGCUAAGAGGAUUAAGAAUGGCUGCAGUUAUUGAACUGGGUGUUGUUGUAUGUAUUUUCGUUUUCUACUUUGCUCGACGGAGCACUCGGGCACGGAGGAGACAAUAUAUUUUGAAACGUAAGCUUUGGCCCCUCCAAUUUAUAAGUGUGUUCUUUCUUUCUGUAGUACUCCCUCCGAUACAUAUUUAUUGUCAUGGCUUUAGUAAAGUGUAA
rnacentral:rRNA from 1 species